UUCAGUAGUGGUAACGGUACUGUUAGUUGUGAAAAGAAAAAUCUUUUACAUUUCAUAAUGGGUUUAGAAAAAAUACUUCGUGGCAUUAUGAAGUAUCGUAAAAGCUCAUGUCACUCUAAAAUGCUAGAAAAAUAUCAGCAUAUUAAAGAAAUGUAUAAUUCAUCCCCACGUCCUUCAGCAAUUUUUUUCACCUGUAUGGACAGUCGAAUAUCACCUUCACAGUUCACGCAGACUGAGGUCGGAGAUAUGUUUGUUGUUCGAAAUGCGGGAAAUUUGGUUCCCAGCUCCAAUCAUCAGUCAAUGGACUUCUUUAGCAAUGAACCUGCAGCAAUGGAACUAGCCUGUGUCUUGACUGGUGUUAGACAUGUUGUGAUAUGUGGUCAUUCUGACUGUAAGGCAAUGAAUAGGUUGUACAAAAUGCAUGAAGAGGAGACACUUAUGGAGCUCAAAGGCUCACUACAUGGAUGGUUGUGCCAGCAUGGAAUAGCUUCCUUAGACAGGUUUAUAGAGCUGGAAAAGAACAAUUUUAAAAACCCAUUACAAUUUUUUGAAAAGAACACAAGUAAGAAAUUCAGGGCAUUCAUUGAUCCAGAAAACAAGUUUUCUCAUGUUGACAAAUUAUCCCAGAUAAAUUGUUUACAGCAACUUGAAAAUGCCACUUCACAUGCAUUCCUGAAACCAUUACUGGAGCAAGACAAGCUACGUUUUCAUGCACUUUGGUUUGAUAUAAACACGGGUGAUGUGCACUGCUUUAGCAAUAAAAAGGAGCAGUUUGUAGAAGUCAAUGACCACAGUGUGGAAGAAUUGCUGGUGGAGAGUGACCAAAAUAUUUUUUCUGGUCCAAAUAAAUAAAUUAAUUCAUUACCUUAGUAUUUCUGAGUUUGAGACAUGGAAUUUAAAUAUUUUACAUUUUUUAUACUAUCAGUUAAAAUGUAUGUAUCAUUUAUUUACUUAUGAACAAAGAGAUUUGGAAAAGGUUUCUUUAGAAAGAUAUAAAAUUAAAACAUCAUAACCUCCCAAGUGUAAUUUUGAGAAUGUUGUGGUUUUGAUGGAGUUUUUAUAACUUAAGAGAUAAAUGACAAUUAUCUUUACCAAUCUUUCUAUAAUUUGGUCAGUGUCACUGUCCAGUUGACAAUGCAAACAUAUUGUGAACUUAUGAUACUACACAUGACAUUACAACAAAUUCUUGUUGUACGUCUUGAUCAUGUAUCACUAUCAUAUAACAUGACAUCUUAAACCAUUGUUUAACACUUGAUCUUGUGACACUAUCAUAUAACAUGACAACAAUUGACCAUUGUUUAACACUUGAUCUUGUGACACUAUGCAUAAAGAACAUGACAAGAAUUCAAACAAAUGUGUAACACUUUAUAAUAGGUUGUAACAUUAUGAUACAUUGUUUGAUACUGGGAUAAAGAAAAAAUACAUUAUCACACACCUCUCAAUACAAUGACUGUACAGUUGUAGGUGGUGUAUCUCCAUUAGAACAUACUACACUUAAAAAAAUAAUGUAAACCUUAUAAUACAUUUUUAUGUGUGAUAAAAAAAAUAAUUUGGUCUGCUUUAUAGGAAUUCCUAUUUAGGUGGCUUUUCCUCAGCUUUAGCAAUAACAUUGUGAUAUUAAUAUAUAUAGUCUAAAAUGUUAACCAUAGAGAACAGUUGUAUCAAUCUUGGACUCUUACUGAUUAGUUACAGUGAUUUUAAUCUGUAAUAUUAACAUAGAGAACAGCUGUAUCAAGCUUGGGCUCUUAUUGAUUAGUUACAGUGAUUUUAGUCUGUAAUAUUAACAUGGAGAACAGGUGUAUCAAUCUUGGACUGUUACUGAUUACUUACAGUGAUUUUAGUCUGUAAUAUUAACAUAGAGAACAGCUGUAUCAAUCUUGGACUGUUAUUGAUUACUUAUAGUGAUGUUAGGGUAUAAUAUUAACAUAGAGAACAGCUGUAUCAAUCUUGGACUGUUACUGUAUAAUUAUAGUGAUGUUAUUCUACAAUGUUAACAUAGAGAACAGCUGUAUCAAUCUUGGACUGUUACUGUUUAAUUAUAGUGAUGUUAUUCUAUAAUGUUAACAUAGAGAACAGCUGUAUCAAUCUUGGACUGUUACUGUUUAAUUAUAGUGAUGUUAUUCUAUAAUGUUAACAUAGAGAACAGCUGUAUCAAUCUUGGACUGUUACUGAUUACUUACAGUGAUGUUAGUCUGUAAUAUUAAUAUUGAGAACAGCUGUAUCAAUCUUGGACUGUUACUGAUUACUUAUAGUGAUGUUAUUCUAUAAUGUUAACAUAGAGAACAGCUGUAUCAAUCUUGAACUGUAACUGAUUACUUAUAGUGAUGUUAUUCUAUAAUAUUAACAUAGAGAACAGCUGUAUCAAUCUUGGACUGUUACUGAUUACUUAUAGUGAUGUUAUUCUAUAAUGUUAACAUAGAGAACAGCUGUAUCAAUCUUGGACUGUUACUGAUUACUUAUAGUGAUGUUAAUCUGUAAUAUUAACUAUAGAGAACAGCUGUAUCAAUCUUGGACUGUUACUGAUUACUUACAUGAUGUUAUUCUAUAAUAUUAACAUAGAGAACAGCUGUAUCAAUCUUGGACUGUUACUGAUUACUUAUAGUGAUGUUAUUCUAUAAUGUUAACAUAGAGAACAGCUGUAUCAAUCUUGGACUGUUACUGAU